UGUGACGAAAGCCUGUGGUGCCCUUGAUG
rnacentral:piRNA from 1 species